UGGGUCGUUAAGUCUCUUGGGAAAUCCGGCAGCUUAACUGUCGGGCGUCUAAGGGAUACUGGCGAUCUUGGAACCGGGAGAGGUGAGGGGUACUUCGGGGGUAGGAGUGAAAUCCUGUAAUCCUCGAGGGACCACCUGUGGCGAAGGCGCCUCACCAGAACGGCUUCGACAGUGAGGGACGAAAGCUGGGGGAGCAAACCGGAUUAGAUACCCGGGUAGUCCCAGCCGUAAACGAUGUGCGUUAGGUGUAUCGACGACCACGAGUCGUCGAGGUGCCGAAGGGAAACCGUGAAACGUACCGCCUGGGAAGUACGGUCGCAAGGCUGAAACUUAAAGGAAUUGGCGGGGGAGCACCACAACAGGUGGAGCCUGCCGGUUUAAUUGGACUCAACGCCGGGAAGCUCACCGGAUAAGACAGCUGAAUGAUUGCCGGGCUGAAGACUCUGCAUGACUAGCUGAGUAGUGGUGCAUGG
rnacentral:rRNA from 1 species